rnacentral:rRNA from 1 species
UAUAGGCCAAAAUUUCUCCCCAACAUAACGCGAAAAGGCGGGGAGGUGUCCGGGCCGUUAGCCACAUUUGAAAUAAUUUUUAUGUGAACGUCUACCAAAGAAAAGUCUAUGUAUACAAGGGUGGUGGAUCGAGCCAGAGCCCAUUCAACGCAAUUACUUUCUUAGGAAACAUACAAAAGGAUCAUGUCCGAGUUGAUUCGGGCUCCGGCCCGAUCCACCCCCCCUGAGUGUACCUAGAACGGUUGGUUUGGGGGGCCGCGGUCCUCCGCGGCCGCCCCCUCCCCGGGGGUGGCCAGCGCCCGCCAGAGGACCAUCAAACUCCAGUCAGUAAACGAUGCAGUCUGAAAAAUAUUCAAUAAACUAAAACUUUCAACAACGGAUCUCUUGGUUCUGGCAUCGAUGAAGAACGCAGCGAAAUGCGAUAAGUAAUGUGAAUUGCAGAAUUCAGUGAAUCAUCGAAUCUUUGAACGCACAUUGCGCCCUUUGGUAUUCCGAAGGGCAUGCCUGUUCGAGCGUCAUUACAACCCUCAAGCUCUGCUUGGUAUUGGGCACCGUCCUUUGCGGGCGCGCCUCAAAGACCUCGGCGGUGGCGUCUUGCCUCAAGCGUAGUAGAACAUACAUCUCGCUUCGGAGCGCAGGGCGUCGCCCGCCGGACGAACCUUCUGAACUUUUCUCAAGGUGACCUCGGAUCAGGCUGUAAGAAACGGCG